rnacentral:rRNA from 1 species
GACGAACCGAGCGAACGUUGUUCGGAAUUACUGGGCGUAAAGGGCGCGUAGGCGGCACGGCAAGUCAGGAGUGAAAGGCCUGGGCUCAACCGAGGAACUGCUUUUGAGACUGCCGAGCUAGAGUGCAGAAGGGGCAACUGGAAUUCCCAGUGUAGCGGUGAAAUGCGUAGAUAUUGGGAAGAACACCUGAGGCGAAGGCGGGUUGCUGGGCUGACACUGACGCUGAGGCGCGAAAGCCAGGGGAGCAAACGGG